rnacentral:tRNA from 1 species
GGCCGGCUGGCUCAAUGGGUUAGUCUAUCCUCAUCAAAACCUGCACUUCACACUGCUAACUCCCACAAAGUAGAGUGCUUGACUACGAAUCAAGAGGUUGCAGGUUCGAGCCCUGCGUCGGUCA